rnacentral:rRNA from 1 species
GACAACGCUGGCGGCGUGCCUAACACAUGCAAGUCGAACGAAGCUCUGCGAUACAAGACUUCGGUCAAGUUGAACGGAUGACUUAGUGGCGGACGGGUGAGUAACGCGUGAGGAACCUGCCUUUCAGUGGGGGACAACAGUUGGAAACGACUGCUAAUACCGCAUAAUGUAUUCUGACCGCAUGAUCGGAAUACCAAAGAUUUAUUGCUGAAAGAUGGCCUCGCGUCUGAUUAGAUAGUUGGCGGGGUAACGGCCCACCAAGUCGACGAUCAGUAGCCGGACUGAGAGGUUGACCGGCCACAUUGGGACUGAGAUACGGCCCAGACUCCUACGGGAGGCAGCAGUGGGGAAUAUUGGGCAAUGGACGCAAGUCUGACCCAGCAACGCCGCGUGAAGGAAGAAGGCUUUCGGGUUGUAAACUUCUUUUGUCAGGGAAGAGCAGAAGACGGUACCUGACGAAUAAGCCACGGCUAACUACGUG